rnacentral:lncRNA from 1 species
AGGAGAAAGAGGAUGAGGAAGAGGUGUUACUGAUAAAAGGAAUAGAGCUAGAUAGAGAGAAUUUCGUGAAGUUUGAUGUGUACAUCAACGACGAAGAUUAUUCAGUGAGUAGGCCUAAGAAUAGUGAGUUUGCAGGAAGCUUUGUGAACGUACCACACAAGCAUAUGAAAGAAAUGAAGACGAAGACCAAUCUGAGGUUCGCGAUAAAUGAGCUGUUAGAGGACUUGGGAGCCGAAGAUGAUGAGAGUGUGAUCGUGACUAUAGUCCCUCGUGCUGGGGGCGAUGAUGUCACCAUUGGUGGAAUUGAGAUCGAGUUUGUUUCCGAUUGAUCCCAUCUUUCAAUGAUUAUCCAUUAUAUGUAUGUAUCAGGUAAGUCACAUCUUUAUGUGACUAAUGGAAAAUGUGAGACUUCUCUGUACUCUCCCGUCAAGUCUUUUAUUAAUUUAGAGCUGUUUGGUUUAAAUUUAAGGGGUUUUUAAUUGGUGUUAGUUUCCUGUGCCUUUUAUUUACUUUAGAUUGAAGUGGAAAUUGAAGUUAAAUUUACUACUUUUAUAAGAUAAUAUGGGGGGUUAUAAAUAUUUUAUAAAAAAUCAAACAACUUUUUGUACAAUUUAAAAUAUUUUUUUUAUAAGAAAUAAUAUUUAUCUCAUUUUUAUGUUAUUUUUUUAAUUAUAAGUUCUUUAAACAAAAUUAAACAAAUAUAUUAGAUUUAGGAAAUAGUUUUUGAUUUCUUAAAGAGGAUCCAAGAAGUUGCUAAAUAUAUUAUGGGAUAUCCAAGAUCAUGGGCUUUUUUUCAAAUCAAUAAUUGGAAAUAUACGCCAUAUUUGAAUGGUAUUUUUCUUCUUCCUACUUUUCCUAAUUUCUUUUAUGCUAUUUACAUAGCAAAUGCCAAUUUAAAUGCCCUUCUUUUUUUAGAUUUAAUAUCCAAUAACUAUUUGUAAUACAUUUGAUGACUACUUGUUAUAUAAUUAUAUGAUAUAAAAAUAAUGCAAAAUAAUAGCCCUGAGGGGUAGCUCAAUUGGUCUGGUAUUGGGUUUGCUCCCCAAUGAUUACCAGUUUGAGUCCCCUCAAAACCAUUGGAGGUUUACCUAGUCGUUAACUUUAGGGCCCUGUGGGAUUAGUUGAGGUGCGUCUAACCUGGGUCGGACAUCCAAGAUUAUUAAAAUAAAAAAACAUACUUGUUACAACUAUUGGAUUGAGUCCCUACAAAUGAAACAUGAGGUAGUAAAGUUUUAUUUAUGAUAUUUUAUUUGUUACCCCUUUUUAUGUAUUGACAUUAAUUUAAUCAUUUAGCUUAUAUGACUUCCAUUGUACAUGAUUUAGGUGUAUUAAGAAUUAUACAAAAUAUAUAAUUUAUGAGUUCAUUGGAAUAUGAUAAGUUGUUCAUAAUCGGUUUAUAGAUUUGGAUAAUCUAGUAAAGACUGUAAUAUUAUCUCAUAAUUUGAGAAAUGACUUGUCUACCGCUAAGAUGAGAUUCUUAUGGUGAGUGCAUUAGCAUGAUAUUAUUGGACAUUUUUAAAGGAUAUAUUUUGAUUGAAAACAUUCAUAGCAUAAAUAUGAGUACUUGUAGACCCCAUAUGGGGCUCGGUUUUCAUGCAGCCUGUUUUGCCAAGUGUCACAAUUCCAUAAGGCCACAUGUUGAUUUCUAGUUGGUUGUUGGGAAUCAGAGUAGUGGAAUUGGAGGACCAAUGAGAGGUCGACACGUGGCAAGAAGAUUCCAAAGAAUCUGCAGAAGCCGUUAUGGAGGAGCGUCUCUGGCGGCUGGAGAGGAGGUUGCUUUUUGGACGUGUUUGUUGAGAGAUAUUUCAGGGAGAGGAGGAUAGUUUAGCUCGAGAGAGGUGGUGCUUUUUGCGAAGUUGCUUGGAGAUAUUUUGAGGGGAUCUCCUUGGGUGAGGGGGCAGGCUGGUGACUCAGGGACACUAGAGAGAGAAAAACAGGGGAAUCAGAGGAGAAAAGGGUGAGAGUUUGAGGGUGAGUUUCUAGCUUAGAGGAGAGGCUACCGGAGGAGAGAACAGGGAGCAGCAAACUGUGAGAGGUAGUGGUGCUAUUGGCUGCCGUUUAGAGGAACUUGAGAGAGAGCGAGACUUGAGAGAGAAAGAACCAGAGAGUUAGAGUUUUCCAGAGAGAACAGAGAGCUUGAAGGAGAAGAAGGUAAGGGUAUGACUGCCACUAAUCUUUUUGUUUUUUUUCGUUGGUAAAUAGUCUCUUUACCUCUUCUCGAUAUUUUCUACGGAUUGCUUGAUUUGUGUUUAGUUUUUAUGGUUCAUGUUUGGUUGAUAUCUCUUUCAUUUUCUUCGAGAUGAUUCGAGAGUGAUACGACUAUGUUUUUAGUUGGGAUGGAAAACUUGUUUUGCUUUUGUUUUCAAUUCCAUAGGAUAUUUAUUUGACUUCACUCACCCCCACCUAAGCCCAUUGAUUGAUGCAUGACAUGAGGCUUAGAUGUAUUCAUUUUGCUCCAAUUAUUUGUACUCUGUCUUGCCGUUUUCCCCUGUUACUGCCUCUGGUGCUGGUUCAGAUGCUAUAUGCAAUAGCAGUAUAGUAGGAGAAGAUGGUUUUGACGAGGGGUUUCCUGAGGUGGAGAAUUUCAUGCACAUCAUAGACUUGAAUGUUGGAAUUUUAUGUGUGGACUUACAUAAUUAAUUUGAUAAUAUCAUAAAUCAGUGUUAAUUUAUGUUUUUGCAUUGUGGUCCAUAAUGGGACUGGACACAAAUUGUUGCUUGAUUUUUUAUGGGCUCACCCUAAUUCACUUGACUGGCCCAUUAAGUCAAGUCGUCCAACUAAAGUGUGUAAUGUGCAAUAUAUAUAUAUAUAUAUAUAUAUAUAUAUAUAUAUGUAUUUAUUUGUAUAUAUAUAUAUAGAGGUGUGUGUGCUUUUGGAGGUGGACCACUCUCUCUUUUGUUCUCUUUGAAGAACACUCCCGGCCACACACGCACACACUCCACUUUGGACUGAAUUUUGGGGAUUAAAGGGAAGAGCUCAUUGAUCGCUCAUCCUCGGAGCAUCACGCACCCGGAAAGCAGAUUAUUGGAUAUCAAAGGAGAGAAGAAAUGGCUUCCCAAAGCACGAACCAAGGUAACGGAAGAAUUUUGCUAUUAAAUGCAUGCUUAAUUGUCAAUAUGUGAUCCUAUGCAAUUUAAAUUAUCAUCAAUUGGUAUCAGAGCUUGCAUGAUUGACAUUUGAGCUGCAAUUUUGGGUUAAUUUUUGGGUUUCCCGUUUCCUGUGGUGGAAGCCAUUUUUUUGGAUUUUUAAUUCUCGUUUGAUGUUUAUUCUCUGUUUUCAAGCCCGAUUGUUGUUGGAAACUUGUAGAGAAUAUUGUUUGGAGCAAAACCCAUCAUUUUAUUUGAUUUUUGGAGCUUGUUUGGUGGGAUUUCGAAAAUUAGGGUUUGUUUGGUUCUUGCUAUUAUGCGUUUUUUGUGCAAUUUUUGGGUUUGGAUUGAAUAAUUGAUGUUUUAGGAUGGAAAUCUAUGUAUUUUUGACGAAAAAUGCGUGAAAUUUUGGGCGGAAAAUUUUUUUUUUUCUUCUCCAGAACCAGGCCGUGCUCAGCUGGAUGAGAAGAUGAACAGUGACGUGAUGACGUCAUCAUGACGUCAUAAAAAAAAAACCAAUUUUUUUUUUUUUUUUUUGUUUGUUUGUUGCCUUGGUAUUCUUGGAUUGAUUGUGCAUAUGCUAGAAUUUUUUAUGCAUUUGUUAAAUUUGACUUUAUUGGGACAAUUAUUAUUAUUAUUGUCCUUUAUGGUAUAAUUUUUCCUUAUAUCAAUAAUGUUGUCCUAUGUCAAUUUUGUUAAAUAUUUCAAUUUAUUGAGGCAAUGAAGCACACUUGUGUAAUUGCCUAUCGCAAUUCCAAGUGUGUCAAAUUGUGAAAAUUGAAUAUUUUAUUUUAUUCAUGACAAUUGUGAACAUAUGUGUGAUUGCCUAUCGUGAUCCUAUAUGUGUCAAAUUGUCCUUGGUGAGAUAAUUUAACUCCCACAUUUAAUCGUUUUAUUAUUGUGAUUACUAAGAUCCAUACGGGUAUUGUAAUUGUCCUAUCGAUGAUAACAAUGCUUGGUAGGAUGCUUAGAUUGGUGAAGGAAAUUAAUUGUAUAUUAUGAAUUGUACUAAUUUUCUUUGCCCUUUCGGUAAUAAAAUUAGUACAUUUUGGUUGUAAUAUUUAAUUAGUUGUCCUUACCGCCGUGGAAUUUUUAAAAAUUCCAAGCUAUUGCUAAAUUGAGAAAUUAUGGAAAUUAGCAAAUGCAUGAUAUUGUAAUAACAUGCAUACUGUUGAAUUUUGCUAUUUUCCAGCUACCAGCAAUCCUGGUAUUUCUCUGCAAUUGUCUGCCAUCAAACCUCUUACUGGGAAUAAUUUUGAAGAAUGGUUUGAGUCCUUUAACGUGCAUAUGACUCUGCAAAAUCUGGACUUGGCUUUGAGGGUUGAUGAGCCAAGUAAGCUCACUGAUGUGAGCUCUGCAGAUGAAAGAUUAUUUUAUGAAAGAUGGGAGCACUCCAACAGGAGUUGUUUGAUGGUGAUGAAAUUCACUAUGGAUAAAUCUAUCAAAGAAUGCGGGCCAAAGACGGAAAGGGCCAAAGACUUCUUGGAAUAUGUGAAGGCCAAUUAUACCAAAGUUGAUAAGGCUGAAAUGGCAACUCAUUUGAAGCUUCUCACAACUACUGUAUAUGAUGGAGUUAGUGGGGUUAGGGAUCAUAUCAUCAAGCUAAGGCACUAAUUCAACAAGGCAAAUGAGAUGAAAGUGGAGUUGGGUGAAAAAUUUCUGAAAUGGUUGAUACUUGAGUCUCUUCCUGCUUCCUUUGAUGCAGUGAAGUUGACUUACAAUGCCUUGAAGGAAGAAUGGACUCUGGAGGAGUUAAUGUCCAUUGUAGUGCAACAUGAAGUCUCACUGAAGAAACAUGAGACUCACUCCCUUGCUCUUGUAACAAAUCAAGCCAGUAAUGUGAAGAAAAAACCUCCACACAAGAUUUUUGGAGGCUCUAAGCAGUUCAAGAGGAAAGGGAAUUCAAAUCAAGGAACCUCCAACGCAUCUGUUUCUUCUAAUGCUGCAAAGAGUGAGAAAUUCAAGGGGAAGUGCAACUUUUGCCAUAAGAUUGGCCACAAGCAAGUUGAUUGCUUCAAAUUUAAAAAUUGGCUAGAGAAGAAAAAGAAAGGUGAAAUUGUGGUUGUGGUUAAUUUGAAUGCAAACAUGAUUGAGACAAAUAUUGUUGAUGUUCAUGCCAAUUCUUGGUGGUUAGAUACUGGUGCCACUAUUCAUGUCACUAAUUCUUUGCAGGAGAUGACAAACAGAAGGAAGCCGUCAAAGCAUGAAGAAUGUGUGUAUAUGGGUGACGGAAGCAAAGUGAAAGUGGAAUUUUUUGGCAUGAUAAAGCUGAAGUUGAUCACAGAAAGUUUUUUGUUGUUACACAAUGUGGCUUUUAUACCCUCACUUAGGAGGAAUCUGAUUUCUGUAUCUUCUUUGGAUAGACAUGGUUAUUCUUUUCACUUUGGAGGUGGAAAAGUGGAUAUUUUUUGCAACUCAGUCUUAAUUGGCAAUGGUGUUUUGUUUGGAAAUCUAUAUAGUCUCAGUUUGCAUCAUGGUUUAUUAUGUGAUUCAUCCUCUGUUAAUUCUGUUGUUGGUUGCAAGCGUGCUAGAAUGAAUUUGAGUUCUUCCAUGUUGUGGCACAAACGCCUAGGUCAUAUUUCUAGGCAAAGAUUAGAGAGAUUGGUGAAAGAUGGUGUGCUUUCUAAUCUUGAUUUCUCAUACUUCGAAACUUGUGUUGUUUGCUUAAAGGGGAAGAUGACAGCAAAGACCAGAAAGGAGAAGAUUGAUAGGUGUGGAAGUACUUUAGACUUGAUCCACACAGAUAUAUGUGGUCCUUUGUCACCAACUGCUUUAGGGGGUUAUAAAUAUUUCAUCACUUUUAUUGAUGAUUUCUCUAGAUUUGGUUUUGUUGAACUAAUCCAUGAGAAAUCUGACUCCCUGAAUGUGUUCAAAGCCUUUAAGGCUAAGGUGGAGUUGCAGUUGGGAAAGCCCAUUAAAGCUGUGAAGUCUGAUAGAGGUGGCGAGUAUUAUGGGAGAUAUGAUGAGACUGGACGGAAUCCUGGACCAUUUGCUAAGUUUCUGUUGGAAUGUGGCAUUGAUGCGAGAUAUACAUUGCCAGGCACUCCUCAACAGAAUGGGGUUGCAGAAAGGAGGAAUCGCACAUUGUUAGAUAUGGUGAGGUGCAUGUUGUCCAAUUCCUCUUUACCAGAAUUUAUAUGGGGUGAAGCCUUAAGGACUGCGGCAUAUAUUUUGAAUCAAGUGCCCAGUAAGUCUGUGCCUAAGACACCUUAUGAGCUAUGGUCAGGAAAGAAACCCAGCCUUCACCAUUUCCAUGUUUGGGGAUGUAAGGCUGAGGUUAAGCCCUAUAACCCACAGUCAAAGAAACUUGAUCCUAAAACCAUUAGUGGUUUCUUUGUUGGCUAUUGCAUUGGAUCAAGGGGUUCCAGAUUCUAUUGUCCAUCUCAUACCACCAGGAUCAUUGAAUCAGACAGGGCUGUAUAUUUUGAGGAUGAAGUCAAUGUUGAUCCAAAUUUUGUGCCUCGUGAGAUACCUUUUGGAGAAGAGCAUGUUGUGAUUCCUUUUCCUACAUCUCAUGUUCCAAAUAUGGAUGUUCCUAUUGUCCAACAGCCAGCCACUAAUCAAGGAGAGCAUGGUGAUCAAGUGGAAUCCGACCUUCCUGUAGAUGAUACAGUUGUUAAUGAGGUUCCUUUGAGAAGAUCACAGAGGGUUCGUAGGCCGGCUAUUUCAGAUGAUUAUAUGGUUUAUUUGCAGGAGCAUGAGUAUGAUAGUUAUGAUGCUUUUGAUCCAGUCACUUACCAAGAAGCAAUUCAUUGUCCUCAAUUCAUAUCUUGGAAAGAAGCCAUGGAUGAUGAAAUGAAUUCUAUGUAUAUGAAUGGUGUUUGGGACUUGGUUGAAUUGCCUCAUGGUUGUAAACCAGUUGGGUGCAAGUGGGUCUUUAAGACCAAACGUGAUUCUAGCGGGAAAAUAGAGAGAUAUAAAGCUAGACUUGUGGUUAAAGGUUAUAGUCAAAGAGAAGGAAUUGAUUUCAAAGAAACCUUCUCACCUGUGUCGACCAAGGACUCUUUUAGAGUGAUUAUGGCCAUAGUAGCUCAUUUUGACUUGGAGCUACAUCAGAUGGAUGUCAAGACAGCUUUCUUGAAUGGUGUUUUGGAUGAGGAGGUGUAUAUGGAGCAACCUAUUGGUUUUGUAGAAGUUGGAAAGGAAGAUUUAGUUUGCAAGCUCAAUAAGUCCAUUUAUGGUCUUAAACAGGCUUCGAGGCAGUGGUAUCUGAAGUUUGAUAAGAUUAUCACCCAAAAUGGCUUUAAAGAAAAUACAGUUGAUAGAUGCAUAUAUUUGAGGGUCAGUGGGAGUAGUUACAUAUUUCUUGUUUUAUAUGUUGAUGAUAUACUACUCGCAUCAAAUGAUCCUGACUUGUUGAUUGAGACAAAGCACAUUUUGUCAACCCAUUUUGACAUGAAGGAUCUUGGUGAGGCUUCUUAUGUCUUGGGCAUAAAGAUUCUUCGUGAUAGGGCUAAUGGAGUGCUUAAAUUGUCUCAAAGAGCCUAUAUUGAAAGGAUAUUGAAGAGGUUCAAUAUGCACAACUGUAAAUCUACUAAAGCGCCAAUUGUGAAGGGUGAUAAAUUUUCAAAAGCUCAGUGUCCUCAAAAUGAUGAUGAGAGAGAGGAAAUGAAGACCAUUCCUUAUUCAUCUGUGGUGGGCAGCCUUAUGUAUGCUCAAGUAUGUACACGCCCUGAUAUUGCUUUUGUUGUGGGCAUGUUGGAAAGGUACUUGAGCAAUCCUGGGAGUCAACAUUGGAAAGCAGCUAAGAAGGUCCUUAGGUAUUUGCAAGGAACUAAGGACUUAAUGUUGACAUAUCAGCGCACCAGCUUACUUGAUGUAGUUGGGUUUUGUGAUGCUGAUUUUGCUGGCUGCAUAGAUGAUAAGAAAUCCACUACGGGCUAUAUUUUUAUGAUGGCAGGAGGAGCUGUAUCUUGGAAAAGUGUCAAGCAGACACUUACAACAUCCUCAACUAUGGAGGCAGAGUAUGUGGCAUGUUAUGAGGCUUGUUGUCAUGCUAUGUGGAUGCGGAAUUUUAUUUCAGCUUUAGGAGUUGUUGACUCCAUUUCUAGACCGCUGAAAUUAUUUUGUGAUAAUUCCGCAACUGUUGCUUUCUCCAAGAACACUAGGAGUAUUUCUCGCUCCAAACAUAUUGAUGUAAAGUUCUAUUUUGUUAAGGAGAAAGUGGCAGAGUCUCUUAUUGAUAUUGAACACAUGUCCACAAAAAGUAUGUUGGCGGAUCCAUUAACAAAAGGCUUACCCAUAAUUGCGUUUCAAGAACAUGUAUCUCAAAUGAGGUUGUUGGAAGCCUAGGUUGUAUUAAGUUAGUGGGAGCCAUUUUUUGGUAUUGUAAUACUAUGUUAUUGUUGAAAGGAUUGCUAUUAUUGUACAUUUCCCUAUGAAUCAAGCAAUGAAGCAUAUAUGAUUGCUUUUGAUUAUUUAUUUCUGAUGAGAUUCUAUGGGACAUUGAUUUAUGAUUAUGUAUAUGUUGUGAUGUUUGAUUAUGUAGUCCAAGUGGGAGAAUUGUUGGAAUUUUAUGUGUGGACUUACAUAAUUAAUUUGAUAAUAUCAUAAAUCAGUGUUAAUUUAUGUUUUUGCAUUGUGGUCCAUAAUGGGACUGGACACAAAUUGUUGCUUGAUUUUUUAUGGGCUCACCCUAAUUCACUUGACUGGCCCAUUAAGUCAAGUCGUCCAACUAAAGUGUGUAAUGUGCAAUAUAUAUAUAUAUAUAUGUAUUUAUUUGUAUAUAUAUAUAGAGGUGUGUGUGCUUUUGGAGGUGGACCACUCUCUCUUUUGUUCUCUUUGAAGAACACUCCCGGCCACACACGCACACACUCCAUUUUGGACUGAAUUUUGGGGAUUAAAGGGAAGAGCUCAUUGAUCGCUCAUCCUCGAAGCAUCACGCACCCGGAAAGCAGAUUAUUGGAUAUCAAAGGAGAGAAGAAAUGGCUUCCCAAAGCACAAACCAAGGUAACGGAAGAAUUUUGCUAUUAAAUGCAUGCUUAAUUGUCAAUAUGUGAUCCUAUGCAAUUUAAAUUAUCAUCAUUGAAGUCUUGUGAUAGAGUUAGAGAACCGUGAACGCAGCAUUGUCAUUUGAAAGAAACGAUUUACUGUAUCUGAUUGAUGUCUGGAGAGGAAGUUUUGGGCUGGAGAGAAGGAAGAGAGUAUUAUGUUUGGAGACUUUCUGGGCUAGUGAUUAUUUGAGAGUUGCAGACGGCUGGAGGAAAUGAUGAGCUGAGAGCGAAGGAAAACGAACUUGAGAAAGAAAUAGAGCACGCAAAAGCUAUCCUCGAACGACGCCGGCGGCGAAACGCCCCCGCCAUCACCGGAACGCCAAGCAACCAAUGAAGCCCCUUUUGAAGAUAUUUUUACCUGUUUUCUUUCAUGCUAUGCCUCCAUGGUUUCUUCUCUAUUGUGGUUACAUUCUCGUUUUUGGAUCCUGUUCUAUGCUUGGACCAGAUCCGAAAACUGGCUGACAAUUGUACUGAUCUCCAAGGUUUCCUUGUUUUCAAUGCUGUUAGUGGUGGUACUAGCUCUGGGCUUAGUUCACUGCUUUUGGAGCGUCUUUCUGUUGAUUUAUGGCAAGAAAUCAGUACCUUGGGUUCGUAGGGCUGCAAAAGUUGAGAAGCUCGCCUUUCCUAUAAGCAUCCUUGUCGGCAUUAUUGCUGUUUCGGGAGCAUUUGUUGAAGGAAAAGAUUGACCAUGCAUUAAAGACAUCGGGAUUUUCAAUUUCUGUCAUGAAGGCAGAUCAAACAAUUUUGCAACGUUUGGAUGCUCCACAUUGGCCUGUUGGUGUUGAUGGUAAUUGCUGUUGGAGCUGUCCCGAUUGCUACUGUAAAGUUGAACCAAGCACGAGAAGGAGUCUGGUACCACAUUUGCAGCAGGGAGAAGCAGGUGUGCGAAGUUGGAACGGACAUUGAUUGAUCAGCAGAGGAACGAAUUUGAGGAUAUGUUGUGUGCUUUGGCAUUAGAAAGGAGUCAGAUAAAAGAAGCUAUGGGAUUUGCUUUAGAUAACGCUGAUGCAGCUGGAGAGAUAGUUGAGGUUCUAACAGAAUCUUUAACACUUAAAGAAACACCUAUGCCCACUAAAGUUGCAAGGCUCAUGCUUGUCUCUGAUAUUCUUCACAAUAGUAGUGCUCCAGUAAAGAAUGCAUCUGCAUACCGUACCAAAUUGGAAGCAACCUUGCCUGACAUAAUGAAGAGCUUUAAUGACUUGUAUCGUAAUAUAACGGGAAGGAUUACUGCUGAGGCCCUUAAGGAACGAGUUAUGAAGGUUCUUCAAGUCUGGGCGGACUGGUUCCUAUUUUCAGAUGCAUAUGUCAAUGGAUUGCGGGCUACUUUUCUUCGAUCUGGGAACUCUGGCGUAACACCUUUUCAUUCUAUAUGUGGUGAUGCACCAGAAAUAGAAAAGAAAACUAGCUCAGAAGAUACUGGUGGAGUAGGCAAAGUCCAACUUUUCCUAGGAAACGCUGGAACGGCAAUGCGUCAAUUGACAGCUGCAGUUACAGCUGCGGGUGGAAAUGCAAGCUAUCAUGUACCUAACGGGGUGCCUCGCAUCUUGUCACCUGCUUAUUUUCAUCAUUAUAAUGCAUCAACCUUAAAAGGAGAAAACAAGCUAGGUGUCUUAGAGGAGUUUGAGCAGAAAAUUGGAAGUGUCUGAGAAUUUGGCCAUGAUGAAAUAGGCAGCUUCCACGACACAAGUGCAAGCAGUUAAUGCUAGCCAAAACUGAAGCAGAUAAGAGGGUUGAAGGAAGCUUGAAAGGGAUUUGGAGGAAGGGAAUGGUAGUAUCGGCCUGAAGAGUUGGAACAGGAAGAAGGGCUUUGGGCAGGGGAGGAAGAUGACGAUUUUGAGAUGGAAAAGAAUUGACCCCGGAGGAGCCAGAAGCAUUGAAUAAGAUCAGGAAAAGAAAAGCUUGCUCACUCAACAGCAUAGGAUCAAGAUUAACAUUUACAGUGGACGUUCUCAUUGAGAAAUUCGCAGUAGGUCUAUCUAUAUGGCUGCUUCGCCUUCACUGGCUAUCUCAUGUCUAACCCCAGCACUCACAUCUUGGGCCCACGUGCAUGUAUUUUUUGGCUUGCAUGGUACACUAUACGCAUAGCCACCCUUUGGGGUCACGUGUCACCUAUUGCUUCAUCAUUUUCAACUCAAACCCUCUUUUGUAAAUAAUCUUGAAAUCCCGUUUUUUUUCCUAUUAAAAUAAUCCAUAAAUUUCCAAUUUUCAAAUAGUUUUCUAAAUUUCAUUUCUAUCAAAUAAUUUUGUUUUAUUUUUAUUUAUUUAUUUAUUUUUCAAAUUAUCAUCUUUAGAAUUUUUAGGAUCACUCAAAAUCUCUUUUUAAUAAAAUUUGCUUCCACUUUCUAUUCGGCAAGCAAUUUUUAAAUCUUUCAUGAUCUUUUAAAGUGUUUUAAAAAUAAGCAAGAAUUAAAUUCCGUAAUUUCGAAUAAUGGAAUUUAUGGAAUUAAUUCAUGCUAAAAUAAACGGGCUUUGGUGGGGGCCCGACAUAUCUGAUUUUUCGAUUGAUUGACUGAUUGAUUUGAUUUGAUUAUGAUACAUGAUUGAUUUAUCAUGCUCUCUUACAUGCAUGCUAUUGGUCCUUAAUUGUGCACUAACCCUCUCUUUUGAUAGUGUAUGGUGGCUUGUUGCCCAGGUAUGUACCUACUUUCUCUUUGGUUGUUGUCUAUGCAUGUCCUGAUUCUUAUAUGUGUAUGAUCAUUCAAGAUAUUCAUUAAUUUACUCAUCAAUUGCCAUGUCAGCUUCAUUUUAUUAGUAGAGACCCGACUUAGGGACUUAGAGGGGUGCUACGGUCUUUACCGUACCUUCCCGAUAAGUAACCUGACCCCCGAACUCGAUCUGGUUUUUCACAAAUCGCCUUUUCCAAAGUAAGGAGUCACACUUAGGGUUUUCCUUUCUUAUUUUGUUUACCCUUUAAAAAUAAAACAAAAAUAAGUGGCGACUCCAAGUCAUUUUCAAAUAAUCAAUAAAUCAUUUUUCAAAAUAAAAUAAAAAUCGAGCUCGCCAUCGAGUGGGAAACGCAUGAGCCGAAAUGCGGGGUCCACAGUACUAUAUUUCUAAAUCUAUGAUUACUAAUGAUUUUUGUUGUUAUUUUAUUUGAUUUGCUGCAAUAAAUUUGGAGGAACCUAGGAAUAGUUUGCAUGCACCUUACGAAUUUCAGAUAAGAGGAACGGAGUAAUCCAAAGUUCCCGAUAAUAACAACUACCUACAAUAAUUUUUAGAUCAUGAGUUUUAGGAUAUAUUUUGCCACACUUAUUUCAAAAAUUAGUUUUACUCAGAUAUGAAAAACAAUUUUUUGGGCUUAUCAUUG